rnacentral:sRNA from 1 species
UGCAUUUGAAGCCCAUGAGGAUGAGAACCUCCGGGGGCGGGGAGGUUCGACUCGAGCGAAACGAGAGAACGUUGCGCCAGCAACGGCCCGCAGGGCGAGCCACGAAGUGGCGAGUAAUCCUCUAUCACCGACCA